AAAGGAUAGUGUAUCAUAGUUAUUAUGGUCUUCACCAUCAUCAUUAUCAUCAUCAUCAUCAUCAUGAUCAUCGUCGUCAUCGUCAUCGUCGUCAUCCUCGUCGUCGACGUUGUCCUCAUCGUCGUCGUAGUCCUCAUCGUUAGAUGUAUCGUAAUCGUCUUCUCUUCUGGUCAUUACUAUCAUCGUCUGCCAACGACCUCGCUUCUUUCUUCAUACCGUCUCGUCUUUCUCUCGAACGCACCUCAAAACCACUCUUUUGCGCAAUAAUCUCUAGCAUAGAGAAAGAAAGAGAGAGAGAGAGAGAGAGAGAGAGAGAGAAAGACAGAAAGAGUUGGAGUGCCGUUACCGUACUAAGUUCUUAGUGUUAAAGGUUGUUGAGUCGAUUGACUAACAUCUUCUCAAUAUCAGGAUGAAACUAGGAUAAGUGUUGUAUAUAUACAUAAGUGUAGUGAAAGGAAAGGAAAAAGGAAGGAAAAGCAAACGUUAUUAAAAAUUGAUCUAAUCAGAAAUAAUGAAAAUAAUUCAUCAUUGCUCUGACGAGAAGAACGGUACUGGAAUAGUAAUGCGGAAUCGAUUUCACGGCGAGCUACCUCCGUGCGACGUAAUAAUUUAAUCGAGGUGCCUUCUGAGCGGGACAAUUCCUCGCAUGGAAUCUAGGUAACGAUGGUUUCACGCGACUUACCUAUUACGUAUCCACCGAUACGUACGCAAAUUGCCUGUAUAAUUUAUGCGAGUCGAGAAGUAUACCAGUCGAGUAUACUGAUCUAGAAUCAUGAUUUGUAUUCAAUUAAUAGGAGAGAAAAGAAGAAUAGUUGACAUUGGAAAGCUCUGAUCGACAUCAAUUGAAAAAGAGAGCAAUUUUUAUCAUAAAAAGAAAAAGAGAAAAAAAAAAGAGAAAGAGACAUAGAAAAAAUGAUGAGCCUAAAAGUUCAGAAAUAAUCCAGCAAAAUAUUGAAAAAUCCUUUGAACAUAUUUCGUUACUCCUUAGAAAUCCAGAAAUCUUAUUAUGAAUGAAAUUUAACAUAAUGGACUUAACGAACAAACGAAAUUAACAAUGAGAGAUUUCUUUGAAUAUUUUCCAUGAUCAGAUCUCAUUAACGAGGAACCCAGAAAUCUCAUCAUGAGUGGAAUCAAACAAUGACCUUGAACGUUCACAAUCAAAACAGGUCAAUAAAAAGGAAUUAAGAGAUAUGUGAACGUCGAUGAAAUAUAGAUAGGAUAAGUUUCGGAGAUUUAACAUGUGACGUCUGUAGUAUAAUCGAUAGCACGAGUCAAUCCAAAGCUGGUUGGUUUUUGCGGUCGAGUAAAAGCCCUGGAAUCGAGAUACAUGUGCCCGUAGGCUGGUACCUGUCGCUGACACGACGUCCUAACGACACGUCGCGUUAAAACUGAAAAGGAUAUCGCACCGUUCAUUUCCGUUAGAAUGUCGAUUCGAAAGAAGAGGAAGAAGAAGAAGAAGAAGAAGAAGAAUAUCAGAGAAUAAAAAAAUAUCAAGCAUGUAAGUGCUCGACACACCAUCGGAUUUUCGAGGUGGCUAAAGAAAUUGGGUUAGGGGGUCGACUCGCUUCUGCCCGGUUUUCUACGAGAGCCGAUAAGAUUCGUGCGGACACACCUGCCGAGCGAAUAGAAAGCGUCCAAAUUUCUGUCUUUUCAACUUGAAUUCCUCAUUCUAACGACGUUCGACAUUUUCGAAAAAGAGAAACUUGAAAAUUCAAGAACUUGUUGCAGUAAUAAUAACACUAAUGACGAAGACAAAAAUGACAAACUCAAUGACAAUAAGAAAAAAGAAAAAAAAAAAAAGAAAAUGUUAAAUCGAAGUUCAAGUCACGAUUAACAAAGUGAUAAAAAGUUCAGGACAAGUUCCAAGUCUGAAAGCUUGUUUGAUCUUAUAAACUCUCUCAUACCAUUCCCAUGCAUUAAUUAUAAAAAUUGUUCUAUCGAUUCUAGUCAAUUUCCUGUUGGUGAUCCGCAAAAAGAAGUAAUAAAAGAAGAAAGAGGGAGAGAGAGAAAAGAAGAAACUUUCACUUUCCUUUUAGCAAGAUCUAACCACGGUAGCCAUCAUGAUUAUCCUCUCUAUGUUACGAUGCGUUCGUUGGAUCGAUCGAUCGAUCCAAUUGACGACUUUCCAUGAGUAUAUUCUAAACACGCUACAGAGUUACGACCGCAUAAGUGUAUUCACAAGAGUGCAUUGAACCAUCGAAGCAGAGAGGCCUGGAUUUCCGUAGAAAUCGUUCUUACCGGCUAGUAGAACCACAAGUGACAGAGAGAGAGAGAGAGAGAGAGACUUUCGAAAUCAACUUGGAGAGUUGUUUGCUUACCGGAAGA